GCGGCUAUAGUUUAGGGGUAGAAUUGAAGCUUCCCAUCGUAUUGUCCAUGGCGAGUUUGCUUCAGGCUCGGGUUCGAGUCCCGAUGGCCGCA